UACGUAGGGGGGCAAGCGUUGUCCGGAAUUAUUGGGCGUAAAGCGCGUGUAGGCGGCUCGGUAAGUCUGCUGUGAAAGUCCAAGGCUCAACCUUGGAAAGCCGGUGGAUACUGUCGAGCCCGAGUCCGGAAGAGGCGAGUGGAAUUCCUGGUGUAGCGGUGAAAUGCGCAGAUAUCAGGAGGAACACCAAUGGCGAAGGCAGCUCGCUGGGACGGUACUGACGCUGAGACGCGAAAGCGUGGGUAGCAAACAGG
rnacentral:rRNA from 1 species